rnacentral:rRNA from 1 species
UACGGAGGAGGCAAGCGUUAUCCGGAAUUAUUGGGCGUAAAGCGUCCGCAGGUGGCGAUUCAAGUCUGCGGUCAAAGACUGGGGCUUAACCCUGGAAAGGCCGUGGAAACUGAAUAGCUAGAGUGCAGUAGGGGUAGAGGGAAUUCCCGGUGUAGCGGUGAAAUGCGUAGAGCUCGGGAAGAACAUCGGUGGCGAAAGCGCUCUGCUGGACUGUUACUGACACUGAUGGACGAAAGCCAGGGGAGCGAAAGGG